rnacentral:siRNA from 1 species
GUAAACUAAAUUGAUCCAUAGUGU